UCUCAGAGACAUCGUCCACGAUCACAAAGACAUUGUCCAUGAUCGCAGAGACUUUGUCCAUAAUCUCAGAGACAUUGUCCGUGAUCACAGAGACCUAGUCCGCGAUCACAGAGACGUAGUCCAUGAUCACAGAGAGUCUUUGACAAUGAAGUUGUUCUUUCAGACCAAGACAGAGGCCUCCAGGUGUCACCACUUCGUCCACAAGAUCAUCCACGAUCACAGAGACAUGGUCCAUGAUCGGAGAGACAUUGUUGAGGAUGAGGGAGACAUCGUCCACGAUCAGAGACGUUGUCCAUGAUCACAGAGACCUUGUCAAAGAUGAGAGAGACGUUGUCCAUGAUCAGAGACAUUGUCCCAUGCUUCGUAGAGACCUUGCGAUAGAAUCGGCGGAGACGGGGGUCACCGAUUUGACGGCACUGCCCGCGAUCAUGGAAACAUUGUCAAUGAUUACAGAGACAGCGUCUAUGAUCUCAGAGACAUCGUCCACGAUCACAAAGACAUUGUCCAUGAUCGCAGAGACUUUGUCCAUAAUCUCAGAGACAUUGUCCGUGAUCACAGAGACCUAGUCCGCGAUCACAGAGAUGUAGUCCUUGAUCACAGAGAGUCUUUGACAAUGAAGUUGUUCUUUCAGACCAAGACAGAGGCCUCCAGGUGUCACCACUUCGUCCACAAGAUCAUCCACGAUCACAGAGACAUGGUCCAUGAUCGGAGAGACAUUGUUGAGGAUGAGGGAGACAUCGUCCACGAUCAGAGACGUCGUCCAUGAUCACAGAGACCUUGUCAAAGAUGAGAGAGACGUUGUCCAUGAUCAGAGACAUUGUCCCAUGCUUCGUAGAGACCUUGCGAUAGAAUCGGCGGAGACGGGGGUCACCGAUUUGACGGCACUGCCCGCGAUCAUGGAAACAUUGUCAAUGAUUACAGAGACAGCGUCUAUGAUCUCAGAGACAUCGUCCACGAUCACAAAGACAUUGUCCAUGAUCGCAGAGACUUUGUCCAUAAUCUCAGAGACAUUGUCCGUGAUCACAGAGACCUAGUCCGCGAUCACAGAGAUGUAGUCCUUGAUCACAGAGAGUCUUUGACAAUGAAGUUGUUCUUUCAGACCAAGACAGAGGCCUCCAGGUGUCACCACUUCGUCCACAAGAUCAUCCACGAUCACAGAGACAUGGUCCAUGAUCGGAGAGACAUUGUUGAGGAUGAGGGAGACAUCGUCCACGAUCAGAGACGUUGUCCAUGAUCACAGAGACCUUGUCAAAGAUGAGAGAGACGUUGUCCAUGAUCAGAGACAUUGUCCCAUGCUUCGUAGAGACCUUGCGAUAGAAUCGGCGGAGAC